rnacentral:tRNA from 1 species
GGGGGUGUAGCUCAAUGGCAGAGUGCCUACCUAGCAUGUGCAGGGGUUCUGGGUUCAAUCCCCAGCACCACCA